rnacentral:rRNA from 1 species
AUUGAACGCUGGCGGCAGGCCUAACACAUGCAAGUCGAACGAGUGGCGGACGGGUGAGUAAUGUCUGGGAAACUGCCCGAUGGAGGGGGGUAACUACUGGAAACGGUAGCUAAUACCACAUACUCUCGGAUGUCCCCAGAUGGGAUUAGCGAGUAGGUGGGGUAACGGCUCACCUAGGCGACACUCCUUAGCUGGUCUGAGAGGAUGACCAGCCACAUUGGAACUGAGACACGGUCCAGACUCCUACGGGAGGCAGCAGUGGGGAAUAUUUCACAAUGGGCGCAAGCCUGAUGCAGCCAUGCCGCGUGUAUGAAGAAGGCCUUCGGGUUGUAAAGUACUUUCAGCGGGGAGGCGUUACUCGCAGAAGAAGCACCGGCUAACUCCGUGCCAGCAGCCGCGGUAAUAC